rnacentral:rRNA from 1 species
AACGAACGCUGGCGGCAUGCCUAACACAUGCAAGUCGAACGAUUGCCUUCGGGUGAUAGUGGCGCACGGUUGCGUAACGCGUGGGAAUUUGCCCUUAGGUUCGGAAUAACAGCUGGAAACGGCUGCUCAUACCGGAUGAUAUCGCGAGAUCAAAGAUUUAUCGCCUGAGGAUGAGCCCGCGUUGGAUUAGGUUGUUGGUGGGGUAAAGGCCUACCAAGCCGACGAUCCAUAGCUGGUCUGAGAGGAUGAUCAGCCACACUGGGACUGAGACACGGCCCAGACUCCUACGGGAGGCAGCAGUGGGGAAUAUUGGACAAUGGGCGCAAGCCUGAUCCAGCAAUGCCGCGUGAGUGAUGAAGGCCCUAGGGUUGUAAAGCUCUUUUACCCGGGAAGAUAAUGACUGUACCGAGAGAAUAAGCCCCGGCUAACUCCGUG